UUGCAUCUACAACCGCUCAAAAUCAGGUUUAAGUCGUAGGCACCUGAUUGGCGAGUCUUAGAAGGGAG
rfam:Lactobacillus tucceti DSM 20183 Scaffold1, whole genome shotgun sequence.